UACAUGGGGUGCAAGCGUUGCUCGGAAUUAUUGGGCGUAAAGCGCACGUAGGUGGUCUGUUAUGUCAGAUGUGAAAGCCCUCGGCUUAACUGAGGAAGUGCACCUGAAACUGGCAGGCUUGAGUACGAAAGAGGGUCGCGGAAUUCCCGGUGUAGAGGUGAAAUUCGUAGAUAUUCGCAAGAACACCAGUGGCGAAGGCGGCUCACUGGCCCGAUACUGACGCUGAGGCACGAAAGCGUGGGGAGCAAACAGG
rnacentral:rRNA from 1 species